UUAAAGUCCAGAUGGGCACUCGUCCGGGUUAGUACCGAACUUGACCCACAGGGGGCGCUGUGGUGCAACAUUUCAUCUGAGAUUGCUCUAUUAUUUUUCAUGCAGCUGAGCGGCUGUCAGAUCGUUGCUGCCACAAAUUGUAAAUAAGUGUUUGUUUCACACAUCUUCAUACUCCUGCUCCUCUUGACACACAUGGCUACUGCAUCGCGUCACCCACCGCCGUCGUGGGGAAUGGAUAAUUUUCACGCAAACUGGCGGUAUGGUGUAUAAUGGAACGAGCAAAGAUGACGCUACCUGCAUCCUGCUUGGCGCGAUGGCCAAUAACGAUAUUGAUGAUGUUCGGCGCCGGUACCGUCAUGCGUAACGAGUUCUGUUCCACGCGCCGGUAGAGUGUCCACGAGAGAUUUCGUCGAUCAGGCCUGCCCGAAGUUAACUUAUUUUGUCUGCAACUUUACACCCAGUACAUCAUCAACCAGUACGAGAAUCCGAUGCCGAUUUCGGUGCAAUCCUGGAUCCGCAUCGACGGAUCGGGUAACAUCGACACCGCUGGACGCAGAGCGAUGACUAACCCGCAAUCCCGUACCGGAAACUGGAACCUGCAGGCCGUCGUAGGCAGUGCUGGUACUGGUUUUCGCACUUGGACUGUCCGUUUGUUGGCGUUCACAACGACCUGAAUCAUCGUGCUCAAUCAACUGUGGCCUGAAGAAGCCAACGACGUCAAUGCGGCCCCAAGUCCAUCGCUUUACGCAUGUACCCCCCCAUCCCCCCCUCCCCGGUGCUGGAGGAAAAAAUCGCAAAGUGCGGGAAAAGGUUACUACGGCCGUACUAUCGGAUGAAACUCGUGCCGAACACCGCGAAGGCGACAAGAAGGAAGCGAAGGAAGGUGCCAAGACGGCCUCAAAGGGUAAAACGCAGCGUUCGGUAGCAAGCAUAACACGGCCAAGGUGGAGGUGCAAGCUUUAUACAUCGCAACACCGGUCAAGGAGGAAUUGAAGACGGAUAAUUCGACUAACUCUGGAACGGCUUUUCGCGCACCAGCUAGUGCUACCGAGAACGACCGGCAACAGAUAAGGUAGCAGGCAGGACAGUGAACAAAACGUCCAGAGAACCGGAAGUGCUGUAACGUUCGAGUGUGUGAAACAUGAUGCUUAAAACCUGUACCUUGAACCCAUU